rnacentral:pre_miRNA from 10 species
AUAUAUAUACCCGUAUAUGUAUGGGUAUAUAUAUAUACCCAUAUAUAUACGGGUAUAUAUAUA